GGCCCCGCCUCUUGCGCCGAGAAGGAGCUGCAAAACUGCGGCCGGGUGUUCCCACCCACGUGUACUCCUCGGAUCCUCUUAACUUCCUGUGGCCGUCCUCAACUGCCACCCCAGCUUCCAGGUGGAGGGUCCUCUCUUAGCUUCGGAGAAGGCAAUGGCACCCCACUCCAGUACUCUUGCCUGGAAAAUCCCACGGACGGAGAAGCCUGGGAUGAGUGCACGUCCUUCUACUCGACUAUCUUGAACCAGAAGCCAGAAGCGCAGUCUUAACCACUGGACCACCAGAGAAGUCCUAAUACCCCCACCCCAUGUUUUUAAAUUGAUGCUUCAUGUGUGAAGAAUAAUAACAAAAGUUACUU
ensembl:lncRNA